GACGAACGCUGGCGGCGUGCUUAACACAUGCAAGUCGAACGAAGUGGCGAACGGGUGAGUAAUACGUGAGUAACCUGCCCUCCUUUUUGGGAUAAGCCUUGGAAACGGGGUCUCAUACCGAAUAAAGGGGUGUGGGCUCGCGGCCUAUCAGCUUGUUGGUUGGGUGAUGGCCUACCGAGGCGGUUACGGGUAGCCGGCCUGAGAGGGUGACCGGCAACCUUGGGGCUGAGAUACGGCCGGGACUCCUACGGAAGGCAGCAGUGGGGAAUAUUGAACAAUGGAGGGAACUAUGAUGCAGCGAGGCCGCGUGACCGAAGAAGGCUUUAGAGUCGUAAAGUUCUUUCGGUACCAUAAGAAAAAGCCCCGGCUAACUACGUGCCAGCAGCCGCGGUAAUAC
rnacentral:rRNA from 1 species